rnacentral:lncRNA from 1 species
GCCUUCGCCUCCAGUACCGCUCGGUACACCUUUUGAGGAAGAAAUAGGCGUAGGUGCUCACGAUAUGGAUUAUGUAGAAGUUCAGGAAAAUUGCGGUAUAGAAGAAGAAAAUGAAGUAGAUGCGGUUAAUUUAGAUGAAGAUAAUGAAAUAAUUGCUGAGACACCCGCAAUAGGAGAUGCUAAUGUUAGAUUUGAAUCGGUUAAUCUCCCUCCCCGUCCUCCCAGUGCCCCAAGACCUCGUAAAAGAACUAGUGUUGCAUGAUAAUUUUUUGAACAUAUAUCAGAUAUUGAGGUGCAAUGCAAUAUUUGUCAACAAAUAUAUAAGCAUGGAAGUGGAGGCAAGCAAGGAGGUACGGGUACAUUAAUAAGACAUAUAGCUGAAGAUAACAAAAAAGAGUUAAAUAUUGCACAUGGUGGCGGGG